rnacentral:rRNA from 1 species
UACGGAGGGUGCGAGCGUUAAUCGGAAUCACUGGGCGUAAAGCGCAUGUAGGCCGUGUGGCAAGUUAGGGGUGAAAUCCCAGGGCUCAACCUUGGAACUGCCUCUAAAACUACCAUGCUUGAGUGCGAGAGAGGAUAGCGGAAUUCCAGGUGUAGGAGUGAAAUCCGUAGAUAUCUGGAAGAACAUCAGUGGCGAAGGCGGCUAUCUGGCUCGUAACUGACGCUGAGAUGCGAAAGCGUGGGUAG